rnacentral:tRNA from 1 species
GGGGGUGGUUGAGUCCCGGUGGGCUCCCCGGUCUUCAAAAUCGGUGGCGGGUCGUAUUGCGAGCCGCGGUGGGUUCGACUCCCAUCCACUCCCGCCA